GGUGCUUGCAUCAUGAUUUACAUUUGAGUGAGUGGCGAACUGGUGAGUAACACGUGGGAAACCUGCCCAGAAGCGGGGGAUAACACCUGGAAACAGAUGCUAAUACCGCAUAACAACUUGGACCGCAUGGUCCGAGCUUGAAAGAUGGCUUCGGCUAUCACUUUUGGAUGGUCCCGCGGCGUAUUAGCUAGAUGGUGGGGUAACGGCUCACCAUGGCAAUGAUACGUAGCCGACCUGAGAGGGUAAUCGGCCACAUUGGGACUGAGACACGGCCCAAACUCCUACGGGAGGCAGCAGUAGGGAAUCUUCCACAAUGGACGAAAGUCUGAUGGAGCAACGCCGCGUGAGUGAAGAAGGGUUUCGGCUCGUAAAACUCUGUUGUUAAAGAAGAACAUAUCUGAGAGUAACUGUUCAGGUAUUGACGGUAUUUAACCAGAAAGCCACGGCUAACUACGUGCCAGCAGCCGCGGUAAUACGUAGGUGGCAAGCGUUGUCCGGAUUUAUUGGGCGUAAAGCGAGCGCAGGCGGUUUUUUAAGUCUGAUGUGAAAGCCUUCGGCUCAACCGAAGAAGUGCAUCGGAAACUGGGAAACUUGAGUGCAGAAGAGGACAGUGGAACUCCAUGUGUAGCGGUGAAAUGCGUAGAUAUAUGGAAGAACACCAGUGGCGAAGGCGGCUGUCUGGUCUGUAACUGACGCUGAGGCUCGAAAGUAUGGGUAGCAAACAGGAUUAGAUACCCUGGUAGUCCAUACCGUAAACGAUGAAUGCUAAGUGUUGGAGGGUUUCCGCCCUUCAGUGCUGCAGCUAACGCAUUAAGCAUUCCGCCUGGGGAGUACGGCCGCAAGGCUGAAACUCAAAGGAAUUGACGGGGGCCCGCACAAGCGGUGGAGCAUGUGGUUUAAUUCGAAGCUACGCGAAGAACCUUACCAGGUCUUGACAUACUAUGCAAAUCUAAGAGAUUAGACGUUCCCUUCGGGGACAUGGAUACAGGUGGUGCAUGGUUGUCGUCAGCUCGUGUCGUGAGAUGUUGGGUUAAGUCCCGCAACGAGCGCAACCCUUAUUAUCAGUUGCCAGCAUUAAGUUGGGCACUCUGG
rnacentral:rRNA from 2 species